rnacentral:rRNA from 1 species
CACGUAGGCGGAUUGUUAAGUCAGGGGUGAAAUCCUGGAGCUCAACUCCAGAACUGCCUUUGAUACUGACGGUCUUGAGUCCGGGAGAGGUGAGUGGAACUGCGAGUGUAGAGGUGAAAUUCGUAGAUAUUCGCAAGAACACCAGUGGCGAAGGCGGCUCACUGGCCCGGUACUGACGCUGAGGUGCGAAAGCGUGGGAGCAAACA